GAAGAACAAGCGUUCAUUUUCUUCCAGGAGGCUGCACGUGUUGCUGUCAGGUGGAUGGGGAAUCCGACUACCUCGGUUUCUAAUCUUGACUUUACCACUCUCUUGUACAGGCAAGUAAGGUUCUACACCUUUCUGUGCCUCAGUGUCCCCACCGGCAACGUGUUAUAUAUAUAUCAUGCCAUUACACAAGCGCCUCGCCGGAUGAUUGUGCUGUAGAGAUGAGCUCACUCUCAGUACAGAGAUUGCAGUGUAGGUGCAGCGGCCAUUCUGUUUGCAUCACAGUGUCAAGGGAGCCGAGACAGCAGAGCAACGCCCUCCCUAGAGACGCAGCGCAGAUGUCCAGGUGGAGCCCUGCUGGCUGAGACAGCUGAGCCCCAUGCUGGGCUGUGUCCUUCUGGCCUGGAGAGGCACAGAGACAGCCAGGCUGGCCUCCCUCCUGUGCUCUGACUCCAAGAAGGCAGGGCUGGCUGAGUGAGCCACCCUCUCAAAAAGGUCCUCUACAGAAUGGGACAAGUACAUACUUAGGAAGAAGCCUUCAACUACGGCACAACUGACUGAUCCUGCCACCCAGAGCCCAAGCCCAGAGCAGGACGCUCUCUUACUCCCAGCCUUUGUCUCCAACAGCCAGGUAACCCUAGGAGAAGCCACUUAGCUUUUCUGAAUAAGCAGACAUCAGCAUUUAAUGCAGCCAACACUUCAGAUACCCAAUCCUGUUCCGUUGAACCUCAUAACGUGACAAUUCACAAUGGUUGCAAAGGGUGAAUGAGUCCAGGCUUUGAGUCCUUGCCCUGGUGUUUCUGGCCAUAAGUACCAGGGCAGCAUCACGAUAGUGGAUGAGUGAGUGGUCGAAGGAUGAGGUGAGCUUUCCUCAUGGGAUACUCUUACAGUAUCCCAUCCUACAGAACAAACAACACAGCUUCUCCUGGCCCCUGGCUCACUGCAGUGUUCCAGAAACCACCAGAGGGAUAUGCUCCCACCCCCAGACUGCCUGUUCCCUCAUAAUCUCAUGAUCUCCAGGAAGGAAAUCAGGUUAUCCUGGCAGGCUCAUCUUUACAAAGCUGAUUUCUUUUUUUUUUUUAUUUUUUUUUUUUAUUUUAAAGGUUGGUUCUGUUGCCUUGGGCAACACCAGACUGUUCCAAGUGUCCAGAUGGAAAAGACCCUGGAUCUCACCAGUUUCUAACCCCUUGCUUUUUAACCAUCUUAAAAAAUGGGGAGCGGGAGAGGGGGCUCAGGAGAGUCAAGGAGCCUGAGUUCAAAUCCUAGCUCCACCACUGACUGUCUCCAAGCCUAUCAUUUAGUCCCACUGUGCCUCAGUUUCCCCACGUGUGAGGAGGAAACAGUUAUGCUCCAUUUUGAGAUAAAGUAGCAGUGCCGAUAAAACUGUGGGGACGUUUUUCUCAAAUGCGUUUGCACGUGGGGUGCUUAAGUACCCUGCACAUCUGAGGUGGGCUCCUCAGCUUCCAGCCCUGAAGUUCCUGAGUUCUUUGUGGAGCCUGUGUGGCUCCUGAUAAAAGCACCAUGCCAUCCCAGAAGAGGCUAAGGGAGUCUUCUACAAUGAGUACUUCAGAAGAUUCUCCACAGGACAGUGGUCAUGUCAGGCCCUUGUCUUCACAACCAUGUCUCUUUUCCAAGCUCUCCGACCCCCAAGCCGUGUUUUUUGUUUUGUUCUGUUUUGCUUUUUAUCUAACCUUCCCUGUCCACACACACUCCAGCCUCUGCCAGCCCAACUUCUUCAGGAUUUAGGUAACCAUGUCCCUGCUCCCUACACUGCCUUCUUUUUCUAGCCAAGCAACAGUUCUCCAGAGUCUCACCCUCCAGAAAUGAGCCAGGAUGUGACCUCCUUCACAGGCUCUCUUAGAUGGUGUGAGGGAAUUAAUUCACGCCACUGUUGGAAAUUACAAUGCUUCCAAGACCUUAAGCAUCCUAAGUUCAGAGGCUGAAUAAAGUUGAAUAAAGUCGUAGCAAUGUGAAUGAGCAGUUUUCCAGGAAGGAACAGGGAGUCUACUCUGGGGUUUCCCGCUGCCAAAAAAAAAAAGCCACAAUUUAUGCGAUUUUUAAAAAUUAACAUAUUUUAAUUAUAGAUAGCAAUGGGAUUUCAUUAUGACAUAUGUAUGCAUAUAUAAAAUGUAUCUUGAUCAUAUACACUCUUCAUUACUCUCUUACAUCCCCCUCCCACUCCUCUUUAUUCCCUUCCUCUCCCAAAGUACUUCCCUUCUAUUUUUAUAUCUUUUGUUGUGUUACCCAAUGAAGGAGAUUAGAGUUGCUUAUCUCAUCAGAAAAGGAUAUUUGGUGGAGCGUUGGCAACAUUUAGUGACUACACCACUGAAAAAAAAUGUCUCCCCUUCUCCCAGCAACCAUUAACUGCUAGUAUCUCUUCAGAGAGACAAGGAGGCCUUAUGAGCCCACCCCCAUCCAUAACAGAAUGUCAAUGUCGAUAGGCCCAAUCACAUGAAGGGCUUGUGCAGGAAAUGAGAUUUUAUAUGAUGUUUGUUUCAGUCGCAUGAGCAAGAACCUACAAAGAGAAAACCUAACAUUUUUUUAAAGAAGAAAUUCAGAAGUGCACUGUUUUUACCAGCUCAGUCUAAAAAUGUUUGAAAGGAGAGGCUGCUUGCUUGCAUUUCAGGCUGACUCUAACAAAUAUGGCCUGACUUAUAUAUGAACAUAUGUGCACAAUGAGGUUUCUAUCUAUGGAAAAAACAUGCACUACAGUGGUCCCAUGAGAUUAUAAGGAAGCUCAAGAAUUUCUAGUCCUGGGCUGGGGAUUUAGCUCAGUGGUAGAGCGCUUACCUAGGAAGCGCAAGGCCCUGGGUUCGGUCCCCAGCUCCGAAAAAAAGAACCAAAAAAAAAAAAAAAAAAAAGAA